GUUUACUGUUUAUAGUGCUUGUUAGAACGAGUCAAUCCCGCCUAGGAUUGGGUAACCCUAUUGCACAUUGAUCACUUCAUCAAUCAUCUAGGCUUCUUUAAUAUUUGAUCCUGAAAAGAGGAAAUGUUGAUUGUUGUUCAUCUUUAUAACCUUUGCUAUAUCAUGACCCAAGAUUAACGUUUGAACCAUAUGGUGAUGUUUAUUUGCAUAAAUAUAUAAAGAGCAUAUUUCAAAGCCAAAAUGACCCGCUUGUCUUCUCUUUUCUAUCUUCUAUCCUCCAUUUGAUAAGACAUGAUUACGUGCACUAGGGUUUAUUUAUUGGCGGUGGGAUCGCAAAUUUGCUUUAAUUGGAAAAUUGGCGGCGGCUGUCUUGCUUAUUGCUGGAGGGGUCAACAGAAUCGGAUCUUUUGGGCGAAACCACGAAGAAGAUUAUUCACCAUCUCUGUUAGUACCACGCCAUCAGAAAUUUUGUUCUCCGUUUUCUCCCAAGAGAUUAUCAUACAUCCUCCCGAUUCCAACAACCAAGGAAGUUGC
rnacentral:misc_RNA from 1 species